rnacentral:ncRNA from 12 species
GUGCUUUGAAGUAGAGAUUGUGCUGCUACACGCCUUCUGGGCCAAAAGAAAUGCGGGAAGGGGCACACCCGCCAAAGCAC